UACGAAGGGGGCUAGCGUUGCUCGGAAUGACUGGGCGUAAAGGGCGCGUAGGCGGACGGCUUUGUCGGGCGUGAAAUUCCAGGGCUUAACCUUGGGGCUGCGUUCGAGACGGGUUGUCUAGAGUUUGGAAGAGGGUCGUGGAAUUCCUAGUGUAGCGGUGAAAUGCGUAGAGAUUAGGAAGAACACCAGUGGCGAAGGCGACUUACUGGACUGUAACUGACGCUGAGGCAUGAAAGCGUGGGGAGCAAACAGG
rnacentral:rRNA from 1 species